rnacentral:misc_RNA from 1 species
UUGUAAGGAUCACCAGUUAACCUGCAUUAACAAAAGACGUUUCAUGUCUCCAAAAUUGAACCCCACCAAGUUAAAAUUACAAUAUAAAUAUAUGAAGAAGAAACAAAAGUACCUAGGAUAAUCAAUGAAUAUGAGAAGUGUAAAAUAGGAAAAAGAAAUAAGAAAAAUAACAAGAAAUUAAAAGAUUGUUCUCUCAUUCCAUCAGGCAAAUGAAAAAGAUCCCAUUAGCAAAGUGCAAAAGGUAGAUGUUCAGCAAUAAAGU